rnacentral:tRNA from 1 species
UUGGGUGUUUAUGCAUUUGAAAUUUUGAUUUUCAAGGAGUAGUAUUUCUACAUUUUCCGAA